AAAUGAUCUUUAGUAGCAAUUAAUUAGUGAAGAGAGCUUAAUUGUUGCUAAAUAUGUUCUUAGAGGCAAUUAACAUUCUUUGUAAAUGUCUCUAAAGCCUAUUGAGACAUAGGAUCCAAUUACAAUUAACUAAUGCUUGUAACGGCUUUAGCACUCUUUGUUAAUGUGCAUGUUUAUUGCCGCUAAUAGUUUUUCUUUUUGUAGUUAUAGCUACUGUGAAU
rnacentral:misc_RNA from 1 species